rnacentral:rRNA from 1 species
AGAGAAGAGAUUUAAUCGACUCUGCAGUAAUGCAGAGAGCCUGCACAGGUGCUGCAUGGCUGCCGUCAGCUCGUGUCGUGAGAUGUUGGGUUAAGUCCGCAACGAGCGCAACCCCUAUUGCCAGUUGCUAACAGGAGAGCUGAGCACUCUGGCGAGACUGCCGCCGACAAGGCGGAGGAAGGUGGGGAUGACGUCAAGUCAUCAUGGCCUUUAUGCCCAGGGCUACACACGUGCUACAAUGGCCGGCACAGACGGCAGCUUAGUGGCGACACUUGGCAAAUCCUCUAAAGCCGGUCCCAGUUCGGAUUGCAGUCUGCAACUCGACUGCAUGAAGCCGGAAUCGCUAGUAAUCGCAGAUCAGCCAAGCUGCGGUGAAUACGUUCCCGGGCCUU